rnacentral:rRNA from 1 species
AUUGAACGCUGGCGGCAUGCUUUACACAUGCAAGUCGAACGGCAGCGAGAGAGAAGCUUGCUUCUCUUGUCGGCGAGUGGCGAACGGGUGAGUAAUACAUCGGAACGUACCCUGUAGUGGGGGAUAACUACUCGAAAGAGUAGCUAAUACCGCAUACAACCUGAGGGUAAAAGUGGGGGACCGCAAGGCCUCACGCUAUAGGAGCGGCCGAUGGAAGAUUAGCUAGUUGGUAGGGUAAAGGCCUACCAAGGCGACGAUCUUUAGCGGGUCUGAGAGGAUGAUCCGCCACACUGGGACUGAGACACGGCCCAGACUCCUACGGGAGGCAGCAGUGGGGAAUUUUGGACAAUGGGCGAAAGCCUGAUCCAGCAAUGCCGCGUGAGUGAAGAAGGCCUUCGGGUUGUAAAGCUCUUUUGUUUGGGAAGAAAUCCUAACGGAUAAUACCUGUUGGGGAUGACGGUACCAAAAGAAUAAGCACCUGCAAACUACGUGCCAGCCGCCGCAGUAAGAC